rnacentral:misc_RNA from 1 species
GUGCAGCCAGUUUAGAAUCAGGAAAUUUGCUCAAAAGAGAAGCUCCUUCAGGAUCAAGGACUCUAUCCGAGUCCAAACCAAGGGAUGUUAUCAGGCAAAAUAAAGCUCUCAAUGGAGAUUUUCUCACGUUGGCUCCUCCUACAGCCGCUUCUCCAUAUCAGCAUUCAUCUAAUUCAAACCUUCAGAGUCUAGAGAGAUUUAGAUUGGAAUCAGUGACUUGUCAGGGAGUUGCUGAAGAACCUACUACAACAAGCUCAGCCCUAAGCAAAUCAGUUCAACAAUCCAUCUAUGGAUUCUUCCCAACUGCCAAGGUACAAAUCAGCCAAGAAGGAACAAACAAACGCAAUUGCCAUGUUGAAGUAGGAGGAAACAUUGAUCUCAAUCUGAAGCUGUAGAAGUUAGUCAUUACACAUGGUUGUGCUUCUUCCGGGAGAAUUUCUGCUCUUCGUAGGAUGGCUAGUUCAAGUCCUAAGGUGUUAGUUUCUGCAGGGCUUUCAUUCCACUCUGUGGUAGAACAACGUUUCUUCUGAUGUAUGUCUUUACUCACAUGUAAAAUAUGCCUCAUACCAGAGGGUUGGAUUAACCUCCGGACUCUGCGUCCAUGAUGGGAUGACGAAUGAGAUUUUGAUUGGAAUUUUCAACUAGGAUGUCUGGAUUCAGGUCUUUCUGGUACCUUAACU